GACGAACGCUGGCGGCGUGCUUAACACAUGCAAGUCGAGCGGUGAAAGCGGAGCUUGCUCCGCUGGAUCAGUGGCGAACGGGUGAGUAACACGUGGGCAACCUGCCCCUCACUUCGGGAUAACUCCGGGAAACCGGGGCUAAUACCGGAUAUGACCUCCUUGGGCAUCCUUGGAGGUGGAAAGUUUUUCGGUGAGGGAUGGGUCCGCGGCCUAUCAGCUUGUUGGUGAGGUAGUGGCUCACCAAGGCGACGACGGGUAGCCGGCCUGAGAGGGCGGCCGGCCACACUGGGACUGAGACACGGCCCAGGCUCCUACGGGAGGCAGCAGUGGGGAAUAUUGCGCAAUGGGCGAAAGCCUGACGCAGCAACGCCGCGUGCGGGAUGACGGCCUUCGGGUUGUAAACCGCUUUCAGCAGGGAAGAAGCCGCAAGGUGACGGUACCUGCAGAAGAAGCACCGGCUAACUACGUGCCAGCCGCCGCCGUAA
rnacentral:rRNA from 1 species